rnacentral:rRNA from 1 species
GACGAACGCUGGCGGCGUGCUUAACACAUGCAAGUCGAAUGGUGAAGCGCCUUCCUUUUUGGUGGGUGUGGAUGAGUGGCGAACGGGUGGGUAACACGUGAGUAACCUGCCCCCUUCUUCUGGAUAACCGCAUGAAAGUGUGGCUAAUACGGGAUAUUCUGGGUCUGUCGCAUGAUGGGUCUGGGAAAGAUAUUGUUUCGGUGGGGGAUGGGCUCGCGGCCUAUCAGCUUGUUGGUGGGGUGAUGGCCUACCAAGGCGGUGACGGGUAGCCGGCCUGAGAGGGUGGACGGUCACACUGGGACUGAGGCACGGCCCAGACUCCUACGGGAGGCAGCAGUGGGGAAUAUUGCACAAUGGGCGCAAGCCUGAUGCAGCGACGCCGCGUGAGGGAUGGAGGCCUUCGGGUUGUGAACCUCUUUCGCCAGUGAAGCAGGCCUGCCUCGUUUGUGGGUGGGUUGACGGUAGCUGGAUAAGAAGCGCCAGCUAACUACGUG